UAUCUGACAGCCAGUCUGAGGGACAAGUUGACUUCAGCUGGGAAUGUUUGGCAGCAGAGGAGUUUGACAUUUGGAGGUUGAGAUUGUGGAAGAUUGUUGAAAGGUCACAAGAAGAACGUGAGAGUGUAUGAUGGUGAGAGGUCAUUGUGAGAGUACACGAAGAGAGAUAAGGUGAUGUUGGGCCGAGAUUUUGGUCCUACGUAUCCCUCUUCCUUCAGUGAGCCAGAUAUGGGAAAUCAGCAGCACCUAUACAGCCUCCACCCUGAACAGUCCCAGUUUUCAGAGCACAACCAGGAUAGAAUUCCUCCUUCCUCCAAAGUCUAGCUGUCUAACAAUGAUAAAAUACCUGCCAGCGCAUUCUCAGAACGUUGGAGAACUGGGAAGAUUUAAUUCAAUAGAUUUGAACUCACUAUGAA